UACAGAGGGGGCAAGCGUUGUUCGGAAUUACUGGGCGUAAAGGGCGCGUAGGCGGCCUCUUAAGUCGAACGUGAAAUCCCCGGGCUCAACCCGGGAACUGCGUCCGAUACUGGAUGGCUUGAGUUUGGGAGAGGGAUGCGGAAUUCCAGGUGUAGCGGUGAAAUGCGUAGAUAUCUGGAGGAACACCGGUGGCGAAGGCGGCAUCCUGGACCAACACUGACACUGAGGAGCGAAAGCCAGGGGAGCAAACGGG
rnacentral:rRNA from 1 species